GACGCAGUGGCACAGAGGCUACUGCGCUGCACUCGAAUUACGUAAUACCUUCGAAAUGCAGUUCCUUCGGGAGCGUGAGUUCGAGUCUCACCUGCGUCU
rfam:Kwoniella heveanensis BCC8398 unplaced genomic scaffold supercont1.50, whole genome shotgun sequence.